UACGUAGGGACCAAGCGUUGUUCGGAUUUACUGGGCGUAAAGGGCGCGUAGGCGGCGUGGUAAGUCAGCUGUGAAAUCUCCGAGCUUAACUCGGAACGGUCAGCUGAUACUGCUGUGCUAGAGUACAGAAAGGGCAAUCGGAAUUCUUGGUGUAGCGGUGAAAUGCGUAGAUAUCAAGAGGAACCCCUGAGGCGAAGGCGGGUUGCUAGGCUGAUACUGACGCUGAGUGCGCGAAAGCUAGGGUAGCAAACGGG
rnacentral:rRNA from 1 species